rnacentral:rRNA from 1 species
ACUCAAAUGAAUUGACGGGGGCUCACACAAGCGGUGGAGCAUGUUGCUUAAUUCGAAGCAACGCGCAGAACCUUACCUGGGUUUGACAUGCAUGGAUCAACCUCCUGAAAGGGAGGCCACAGCCGCAAGGCCGGAACAUGCACAGGUGCUGCAUGGCUGUCGUCAGCUCGUGCUGUGAAGUGUCGGGUUAAGUCCUCUAACGAGCGCAACCCCUAUCGCUAGUUGCCAGCGGGUAAUGCCGGGGACUCUAGCGAGACUGCCGUUGUAAGACGGAGGAAGGUGGGGAUGACGUCAAGUCCUCAUGGCCCUUACAUCCAGGGUUGCAAACGUGCUACAAUGGUGCGUACAAAGCGACGCGAGGCCGCGAGGCGGAGCAAAUCGCAAAAAACGCACCCCAGUUCGGAUUGCAGGCUGCAACUCGCCUGCAUGAAGUCGGAAUCGCUAGUAAUCGUGGAUCAGCUACGCCACGGUGAAUAAGUUCCUGAGCCUUGUACACACCGCCCGU